UCACGAUAUAAAAAAAGCUCCGAAGCGCACUGCUGGUCCUUUUGGGUUCUUCCCCUCUGUUGAGCUGGGCUGUGGCAGCUCUCAUGCAGAGCACAUUCAGCUAUAACAAGGCCCCGGGGAAUUUAAAAGAAAGCCCGUGAGUUGAAGGUGGCUCUAAAGUCUUAUGGCUCACAGUAUGGGUGUACAAAGCAUCCUAUUACAGUCCCCGUGUGGUCUCCUUGUGUCCUUGAAAGGCUCAGGUACCAGUACCAGAUCGAGGGGUUGACAAGCCAAGGCCUAAGAUGAAAGAAAACUUGAGCGGCCAUAAAGGAUGUAAGACCAGAGAACCCACCAUCACCAGGGACUGAAUGGUUAAACGAUAGCAGCUAUUCUUCCAGCUGGACUAUCAGACUGAUGUGGAUUUGUUUCAUGCAGGUGUUGAGCUGGUUGGCUGAAGAGUUGCUGAGCUGGUCCUCGCCCACAUGAUGCAGUCUUUAAAGUUUGCUGCUGAGUGAAUUUAGCAGGCUUGGACCCAGUGGUUGCAGUGACUCUGCUUCAGUAUAUGUGGAUCCUGAGCAUGGUGCCAAGAGGACUCAUGGAUCUUUACCUGCAGAUGACAGGAUGACAUUUACUUAUUUUGCAAGAAUGUGAUUUUAAUAUUUGCUUUAAUUUUAAUAAAGUAU